AUAAAAAAAAACUUCAAAUACCAUAUGGUUUCAUGAUUUUCAUUUUAGUACCCUAUAAUUUAAACUGUAUCAUUAUAGUGCGUACUCAGCGGUUUUAUUUUCUUUUCUGUUAUUCUCUAUAUUAAAAUGAUAUACUGUAAUCUACAGGGUACGAAAGUGAGAAAAUGCGAAACCACAGGGAUUGGUAUUUGGCGUUUACCCUUUAAAGUAAGAUG
rnacentral:lncRNA from 1 species